CUAGGCUUGACAUCCCUUUGCAAAGCCCUUAACCGGGCUCCUCUUGUUCGCAAGACAAAGGUGACAGGUGGUGCAUGGUUGUCGUCAGCUCGUGUCGUGAGAUGUUGGGUUAAGUCCCGCAACGAGCGCAACCCCUAUUUUUAGUUGCCAUCAGUUAGGCUGGGCACUCUAGAAAGACUGCCGAGGACAACUCGGAGGAAGGUGGGGAUGACGUCAAAUCAUCAUGCCCCUUAUGCUUAGGGCUACACACGUGCUACAAUGGCUGUUACAAAGGGCUGCGAGACCGGGAGGUGGAGCCAAUCCCAUAAAAACAGUCUAAGUUCGGAUUGUAGG
rnacentral:rRNA from 1 species